AUUGAACGCUGGCGGAAUGCUUUACACAUGCAAGUCGAACGGCAGCACGGGGGCAACCCUGGUGGCGAGUGGCGAACGGGUGAGUAAUACAUCGGAACGUGCCCAGUCGUGGGGGAUAACGUAGCGAAAGUUACGCUAAUACCGCAUACGAUCUACGGAUGAAAGCGGGGGACCGUAAGGCCUCGCGCGAUUGGAGCGGCCGAUGUCAGAUUAGGUAGUUGGUGAGGUAAAGGCUCACCAAGCCGACGAUCUGUAGCUGGUCUGAGAGGACGACCAGCCACACGGGGACUGAGACACGGCCCAGACUCCUACGGGAGGCAGCAGUGGGGAAUUUUGGACAAUGGGCGCAAGCCUGAUCCAGCCAUUCCGCGUGCAGGACGAAGGCCUUCGGGUUGUAAACUGCUUUUGUACGGAACGAAAAGGCUCUGGUUAAUACCUGGGGCUCAUGACGGUACUGUAAGAAUAAGCACCGGCUAACUACGUGCCAGCCGCCGCGGUAA
rnacentral:rRNA from 1 species